rnacentral:rRNA from 1 species
CAGGCUUAACACAUGCAAGUCGAGGGGCAGCAUGGUCUUAGCUUGCUAAGGCCGAUGGCGACCGGCGCACGGGUGAGUAACACGUAUCCAACCUGCCGUCUACUCUUGGACAGCCUUCUGAAAGGAAGAUUAAUACAAGAUGGCAUCAUGAGUCCACAUGUUCACAUGAUUAAAGGUAUUCCGGUAGACGAUGGGGAUGCGUUCCAUUAGAUAGUAGGCGGGGUAACGGCCCACCUAGUCUUCGGUGGAUAGGGGUUCUGAGAGGAAGGUCCCCCACAUUGGAACUGAGACACGGUCCAAACUCCUACGGGAGGCAGCAGUGAGGAAUAUUGGUCAAUGGGCGAGAGCCUGAACCAGCCAAGUAGCGUGAAGGAUGACUGCCCUAUGGGUUGUAAACUUCUUUUAUAAAGGAAUAAAGUCGGGUAUGCAUACCCGUUUGCAUGUACUUUAUGAAUAAGGAUCGGCUAACUCCGUGCCAGCAGCCGCGGUAAUACGGAGGAUCCGAGCGUUAUCCGGAUUUAUUGGGUUUAAAGGGAGCGUAGAUGGAUGUUUAAGUCAGUUGUGAAAGUUUGCGGCUCAACCGUAAAAUUGCAGUUGAUACUGGAUAUCUUGAGUGCAGUUGAGGCAGGCGGAAUUCGUGGUGUAGCGGUGAAAUGCUUAGAUAUCACGAAGAACUCCGAUUGCGAAGGCAGCCUGCUAAGCUGCAACUGACAUUGAGGCUCGAAAGUGUGGGUAUCAAACAGGAUUAGAUACCCUGGUAGUCCACACGGUAAACGAUGAAUACUCGCUGUUUGCGAUAUACAGCAAGCGGCCAAGCGAAAGCGUUAAGUAUUCCACCUGGGGAGUACGCCGGCAACGGUGAAACUCAAAGGAAUUGACGGGGGCCCGCACAAGCGGAGGAACAUGUGGUUUAAUUCGAUGAUACGCGAGGAACCUUACCCGGGCUUAAAUUGCAGAUGAAUUACGGUGAAAGCCGUAAGCCGCAAGGCAUCUGUGAAGGUGCUGCAUGGUUGUCGUCAGCUCGUGCCGUGAGGUGUCGGCUUAAGUGCCAUAACGAGCGCAACCCUUGUUGUCAGUUACUAACAGGCCAUGCUGAGGACUCUGACAAGACUGCCAUCGUAAGAUGUGAGGAAGGUGGGGAUGACGUCAAAUCAGCACGGCCCUUACGUCCGGGGCUACACACGUGUUACAAUGGGGGGUACAGAGGGCCGCUACCACGCGAGUGGAUGCCAAUCCCAAAAACCUCUCUCAGUUCGGACUGGAGUCUGCAACCCGACUCCACGAAGCUGGAUUCGCUAGUAAUCGCGCAUCAGCCACGGCGCGGUGAAUACGUUCCCGGGCCUUGUACACACCGCCCGUCAAGCCAUGGGAGCCGGGGGUACCUGAAGUGCGUAACCGCGAGGAGCGCCCUAGGGUAAAACUGGUGACUGGGGCUAA